ensembl:lincRNA
CUCGAGAAAGGGACCGGUGCGCGCCUCCACCUCCCCAAGGGACAAACCGCGGCACCACGCUGCGUGCGCGGGAUUGCGACUAGGAAGUGCUGGUUUUACGGAGACUUUCGGUCCCAGCAAAAACUGAUCACCUGGAGUCUUCUACGGUCUCUCUUUAUAAAUCUCUCCGAACCUCAAGCAACUCCCCCCCACCCCCUUCGUCUGGGGUCUGCGCCCAGCGGGGCCAAAGCCUUGAGUUCCUUGGCAGAGAGUGUGGAACAGCCGUGAGCCCUUCAAGACAUGCCUAUGAGCCCGGUGAUUUUUUUUUUCAAGGGGGCUUUGAUCAGCUGUACCUCCACGUUGCCCCGGAAAGGUGCGCAGGGCACCCGGAGAGGCCUCUGGUCAGCAGUGGGCCUGGGCCAAGCCCCAACAGUUUACCCCUCAGGCUCAGGUUGGCUGGGGUUAAAGGGCAAAGUCAGGGUCGAGGGCACCAGCUUUUCUCGGCGGUAACAGCUGCCACCCAAAUUAUGCCCCCUCAGGAAGCGAAUGAAUUGUUCCUUUCUCCCAGCUCCCUGCUGCCCGCCC